GAGGCUCAGUCCGCAGAGUGCUUGCCUGGCAAGCAUGAAGCCCUGGGUUCUAUUCCCAGC
rnacentral:tRNA from 1 species